rnacentral:rRNA from 1 species
GGCCCCAUCUCGGGGUACUGAGCAUAAUCAAACUGCGAAUGUCACGCCAACAUGCUCGGCAGUCAGACAGCGGGUGAUAAGGUCCGUUGUCAAGAGGGAAACAGCCCAGACCAUCAGCUAAGGUCCCAAAAUGUAUGCUAAGUGGAAAAGGAUGUGGAGAUGUACAGACAACUAGGAGGUUGGCUCAGAAGCAGCCAUCCUUUAAAGAGUGCGUAACAGCUCACUAGUCGAAUGACUCUGCGCCGAUAAUUUACCGGGGCUAAGCAUACUACCGAAGCUAUGGAUCCCAAGGGAUGGUAGGGGAGCGUUCCAUGAACGGAGAAGUACGACCGAAAGGACGUGUGGAGAUCAUGGAAGAGAGAAUGCCGGUGUGAGUAGCGGAACGUGGGUGAGAAUCCCACGCACCGAAAACCCAAGGUUUCCAGAGGAAGGUUCGUCCGCUCUGGGUAAGUCGGGACCUAAGGCGAGGCCGAAAGGCGUAGUCGAUGGACAACAGGUAGAGAUUCCUGUACUCAUAUAUAUGUGAAGGAAUGACGGAGAGAGGAAGCUGCAGCCAGCGGCUGGAAGAGCUGGUGCAAGCGAGAUAUCGGGAUGGCAGGCAAAUCCACCAUCCGAAACGAGAAGGCGUGAAGCGUACGGAAAGCUACGGCGAGUACGGAAGGCAGUGGAGGAACUUCCAAGAAAAGUUUCUAACGUUAAGUAUAUAUGGCCCGUACCGAAAAUGGACACACAUGGGUGAGGAGAGAAUCCUAAGGUGAGCGAGAGAACUAUAGCUAAGGAACUCUGCAAAAUGACUCCGUAACUUAGGGAGAAGGAGUGCUCAUAGAGAUAUGAGCCGCAGUGAAACGGCCCAAGCGACUGUUUACCAAAAACACAGCUCUCUGCUAAGCCGCAAGGCGAAGUAUAGGGGGUGACGCCUGCCCGGUGCUGGAAGGUUAAGGGGAGGGGUUAACGCAAGUGAAGCCCUGAACUGAAGCCCCAGUAAACGGCGGCCGUAACUAUAACGGUCCUAAGGUAGCGAAAUUCCUUGUCAGGUAAGUUCUGACCCGCACGAAAGGCGUAACGAUUUGGGCGCUGUCUCAGCUGUAGACUCGGUGAAGUCUUAGUACCUGUGAAGAUGCAGGUUACCCGCGACUAGACGGAAAGACCCCAUGGAGCUUCACUGCAGGUUGAUAUUGGGAUUUGAUGCAGCAUGUACAGGAUAGGUAGGAGGCAAAGAGAUGGAUACGCCAGUAUUCAAGGAGCCGCUGUUGGGAUACUACCCCUGUUGUAUUGGAUUUCUAACCGGACGACGUAGAGCCGUUGACGGGACAGUGUCAGUCGGGCAGUUUGACUGGGGCGGUCGCCUCCCAAAGAGUAACGGAGGCGCCCAAAGAUACCCUCAGCUUGGAUGGAAACCAAGCGCAGAGUGCAAAGGCAAAAGGGUGUUUGACUGCGAGACCCACAAGUCGAGCAGGGACGAAAGUCGGGCUUAGUGAUCC